rnacentral:rRNA from 1 species
CAGCCGCCGCGGUAAUACGUAGGUGGCAAGCGUUGUCCGGAAUUAUUGGGCGUAAAGCGUCUGUAGGUGGCUUUUCAAGUCCGCCGUCAAAUCCCAGGGCUCAACCCUGGACAGGCGGUGGAAACUACCAAGCUGGAGUACGGUAGGGGCAGAGGGAAUUUCCAGUGGAGCGGUGAAAUGCGUUGAGAUCGAAAAGAACACCAACAGCGAAAGCACUCUGCUGGGACGACACUGACACUAAGAGACGAAAGCUAGGGGAGCAAAUGGGACUAGAUACCCGUGUAGUCCCUGUCUCUUAUAC